rnacentral:rRNA from 1 species
UACGUAGGGUGCGAGCGUUUUUCCGGAAUUAUUGGGCGUAAAGGGCUCGUAGGCGGUUUGUCGCGUCGGGAGUGAAAUCAUCUGGCUUAACUGGGUGCUUGCUUUCGAUACGGGCAGACUAGAGGUAUGCAGGGGAGAACGGAAUUCCUGGUGUAGCGGUGAAAUGCGCAGAUAUCAGGAGGAACACCGGUGGCGAAGGCGGUUCUCUGGGCAUGAUCUGACGCUGAGGAGCGAAAGUGUGGGGAGCGAACAGG